CCGGAAAAUCAAGGCUGAGGCGUGAUGACGAGGCACUACGGUGCUGAAGCAACAAAUGCCCUGCUUCCAGGAAAAGCCUCUAAGCAUCAGGUAACAUCAAAUCGUACCCCAAACCGACACAGGUGGUCAGGUAGAGAAUACCAAGGCGCUUGAGAGAACUCGGGUGAAGGAACUAGGCAAAAUGGUGCCGUAACUUCGGGAGAAGGCACGCUGAUAUGUAGGUGAAGUGAUUUACUCAUGGAGCUGAAAUCAGUCGAAGAUACCAGCUGGCUGCAACUGUUUAUUAAAAACACAGCACUGUGCAAACACGAAAGUGGACGUAUACGGUGUGACGCCUGCCCGGUGCCGGAAGGUUAAUUGAUGGGGUCAGCGCAAGCGAAGCUCUUGAUCGAAGCCCCGGUAAACGGCGGCCGUAACUAUAACGGUCCUAAGGUAGCGAAAUUCCUUGUCGGGUAAGUUCCGACCUGCACGAAUGGCGUAAUGAUGGCCAGGCUGUCUCCACCCGAGACUCAGUGAAAUUGAACUCGCUGUGAAGAUGCAGUGUACCCGCGGCAAGACGGAAAGACCCCGUGAACCUUUACUAUAGCUUGACACUGAACAUUGAGCCUUGAUGUGUAGGAUAGGUGGGAGGCUUUGAAGUGUGGACGCCAGUCUGCAUGGAGCCGACCUUGAAAUACCACCCUUUAAUGUUUGAUGUUCUAACGUUGACCCGUAAUCCGGGUUGCGGACAGUGUCUGGUGGGUAGUUUGACUGGGGCGGUCUCCUCCUAAAGAGUAACGGAGGAGCACGAAGGUUGGCUAAUCCUGGUCGGACAUCAGGAGGUUAGUGCAAUGGCAUAAGCCAGCUUGACUGCGAGCGUGACGGCGCGAGCAGGUGCGAAAGCAGGUCAUAGUGAUCCGGUGGUUCUGAAUGGAAGGGCCAUCGCUCAACGGAUAAAAGGUACUCCGGGGAUAACAGGCUGAUACCGCCCAAGAGUUCAUAUCGACGGCGGUGUUUGGCACCUCGAUGUCGGCUCAUCACAUCCUGGGGCUGAAGUAGGUCCCAAGGGUAUGGCUGUUCGCCAUUUAAAGUGGUACGCGAGCUGGGUUUAGAACGUCGUGAGACAGUUCGGUCCCUAUCUGCCGUGGGCGCUGGAGAACUGAGGGGGGCUGCUCCUAGUACGAGAGGACCGGAGUGGACGCAUCACUGGUGUUCGGGUUGUCAUGCCAAUGGCACUGCCCGGUAGCUAAAUGCGGAAGAGAUAAGUGCUGAAAGCAUCUAAGCACGAAACUUGCCCCGAGAUGAGUUCUCCCUGACUCCUUGAGAGUCCUGAAGGAACGUUGAAGACGACGACGUUGAUAGGCCGGGUGUGUAAGCGCAGCGAUGCGUUGAGCUAACCGGUACUAAUGAACCGUGAGGCUUAACCUU
rnacentral:rRNA from 1 species